GCGCCAACUUGUAAUCUGUGCAGGGGCAUCAGAGUGGUGGGAUAAUGGUUCGGUUCACCAGACAGGGUCUGUCUGUGCAACUAUCUGGCCCGCCCGUUCCAAGUUGAGAGAUGGGCCUUGUGAUUUGGGCGAAGGUCUGGAUCACAUGGUCCCUAAAGUAGAGGGUACUGCGUGAGGCUGGUUUCACAGAGCAGCGAAGACCUCUCGCUCUCAACAGUGGAAGGAUUACGGGCUGGUGUACUACUGGCCCACAUUGCCUGGUUGAGUUGGACUCCUUAGACCACCACUUUU